GACGAACCGUGCGAACGUUGUUCGGAAUCACUGGGCUUAAAGGGCGCGUAGGCGGGUCGUCCAAGUCCGGGGUGAAAUCUUUCGGGCUUAACCGGAAAAGUGCCUGGGAUACUGGACGACCUCGAGGGAGGCAGGGGCGGAUGGAACUUCCGGGUGGAGCGGUGGAAAUGCGUUGAUAUCGGAAGGAACGCGGUGCGAAAGCGA
rnacentral:rRNA from 1 species